rnacentral:rRNA from 1 species
GACGAACGCUGGCGGCGUGCCUAAUACAUGCAAGUAGGACGCAGUUGCGAACGGGUGAGUAACGCGUAGGUAACUACCUAUUAGAGGGGGAUAACUAUUGGAAACGAUAGCUAAUACCGCAUACUAGUAGAUGGACCUGCGUUGUAUUAGCUAGUAGGUAGGGUAAUGGACUACCUAGGCAACGAGACAUAGACGACCCGGAGGGGGGAUCUGCCAACAUGGGACUGAGACACGGGCCAGACUCCCACGGGGGGCAGCAGUAGGGAAUCUUCGGCCAUUGGGGGAACCCUGACCGGGCAAAGCCGCGGGAGUGAAGAAGGUUUUCGGAUCGUAAAGAUCUGUUGUUAAGGAAGCGGUACUUAACCAGAAAGGGACGGCUAACUACGUGCCAGCAGCCGCGGUAAUAC